rnacentral:rRNA from 1 species
UACAGAGGUGGCAAGCGUUGUUCGGAAUUACUGGGCGUAAAGGGCGCGUAGGCGGUUCCAUAAGUCCCGCGUGAAAUCCCCCGGCUCAACCGGGGAACUGCGCGGGAAACUGCGGGGCUUGAGUUCGGGAGAGGGAAGCGGAAUUCCGGGUGUAGCGGUGAAAUGCGUAGAUAUCAGGAGGAACACCGAUGGCGAAGGCAGGUCUCUGGGCCAUUACUGACACUGAGAAGCGAAAGCAUGGGGGAGCGAACAGG